UACGUAGGGUGCAAGCGUUGUCCGGAAUUAUUGGGCGUAAAGGGCUCGUAGGCGGUCCAUCACGUCGGGAGUGAAAAGCUGGGGCUUAACCCCAGUCCUGCUUCCGAUACGGGUGGACUAGAGGUAGGUAGGGGAGAACGGAAUUCCUGGUGUAGCGGUGAAAUGCGCAGAUAUCAGGAGGAACACCAGUGGCGAAGGCGGCUCUCUGGGCCUUACCUGACGCUGAGGAGCGAAAGCGUGGGUAGCGAACAGG
rnacentral:rRNA from 1 species